rnacentral:rRNA from 1 species
UUUAGUUGUAAUUAAAUUUCAAAAUUAGUAUUAGUUAUGUUCUUUAAAUUUAAAGAUUUUGGCGGUAUUUUAGUCUUUUCAGAGGAAUCUGUCCUGUAAUUGAUAAUCCACGAUUAAUAAAACUUUAUUUUUUAAUUUGUAUAUCGUCGUAUGUUAAAUAUUUUAUAAGAAAAUUAAUAUUUUUUAAUUAUAUUUAAAUAAUUCAGAUCAAGGUACAGUUUAUAAUAAAGGAGAGAUGGAUUACAUUAUUUUAAAAAUUUGGAUUAAUAAUUUAAUAUUAUUAUGAAAUUGGAUUUGAAAGUAAUUAUUUAUAUAUUUUUAUAAUGAUUUAAGCUCUAAAAUAUGU